rnacentral:rRNA from 1 species
CCUUAGAGUUUGAUCCUGGCUCAGGAUGAACGCUAGCUACAGGCUUAACACAUGCAAGUCGAGGGGCAGCGAUGAAGAAAGCUUGCUUUCUUCAGGCGGCGACCGGCGCACGGGUGAGUAACGCGUAUCGAACCUGCCUCAUACUCAGGAAUAGCCUUGCGAAAGUAAGAUUAAUGCCCGAUGUUAUUAGGAUAUCACAUGAUGUUUUAAUUAAAGAUUUAUCGGUAUGAGAUGGCGAUGCGUCCCAUUAGUUUGUUGGCGGGGUAACGGCCCACCAAGACAUCGAUGGGUAGGGGUUCUGAGAGGAAGGUCCCCCACAUUGGAACUGAGACACGGUCCAAACUCCUACGGGAGGCAGCAGUGAGGAAUAUUGGUCAAUGGACGCAAGUCUGAACCAGCCAAGUAGCGUGCAGGAAGACGGCCCUCUGGGUUGUAAACUGCUUUUAGUUGGGAAUAAAGUGCAUCACGUGUGAUGUUUUGUAUGUACCAUCAGAAAAAGGACCGGCUAAUUCCGUGCCAGCAGCCGCGGUAAUACGGAAGGUCCAGGCGUUAUCCGGAUUUAUUGGGUUUAAAGGGAGCGCAGGCGGACCUUUAAGUCAGCUGUGAAAUACGGCGGCUCAACCGUCGAACUGCAGUUGAUACUGGAGGUCUUGAGUGCACACAGGGAUACUGGAAUUCAUGGUGUAGCGGUGAAAUGCUCAGAUAUCAUGAAGAACUCCGAUCGCGAAGGCAGGUAUCCGGGGUGCAACUGACGCUGAGGCUCGAAAGUGCGGGUAUCAAACAGGAUUAGAUACCCUGGUAGUCCGCACAGUAAACGAUGAAUACUCGCGAUUUGCGAUACACAGUAAGUCGCCAAGCGAAAGCGUUAAGUAUUCCACCUGGGGAGUACGCCGGCAACGGUGAAACUCAAAGGAAUUGACGG